CCUACGGGUGGCAGCAGUGAGGAAUAUUGGUCAAUGGACGAGAGUCUGAACCAGCCAAGUAGCGUGAAGGAUGACUGCCCUAUGGGUUGUAAACUUCUUUUAUAUGGGAAUAAAAUGUUCCACGUGUGGGAUUUUGUAUGUACCAUAUGAAUAAGGAUCGGCUAACUCCGUGCCAGCAGCCGCGGUAAUACGGAGGAUCCGAGCGUUAUCCGGAUUUAUUGGGUUUAAAGGGAGCGUAGGUGGAUUGUUAAGUCAGUUGUGAAAGUUUGCGGCUCAACCGUAAAAUUGCAGUUGAAACUGGCAGUCGUGAGUACAGUAGAGGUGGGCGGAAUUCGUGGUGUAGCGGGUAAAUGCUUAGAUAUCACGAAGAACUCCGAUUGCGAAGGCAGCUCACUGGACUGCAACUGACACGGAGGCUCGAAAGUGUGGGUAUCAAACAGGAUUAGAUACCCGGGUAGUC
rnacentral:rRNA from 1 species